CACUGCCGAGAAAAGCCUCUAGAUAGAAAAUAGGUGCCCGUACCGCAAACCGACACAGGUAGUCAAGAUGAGAAUUCUAAGGUGAGCGAGCGAACUCUCGUUAAGGAACUCGGCAAAAUGACCCCGUAACUUCGGGAGAAGGGGUGCUCUUUAGGGUUAACGCCCAGAAGAGCCGCAGUGAAUAGGCCCAAGCGACUGUUUAUCAAAAACACAGGUCUCUGCUAAACCGUAAGGUGAUGUAUAGGGGCUGACGCCUGCCCGGUGCUGGAAGGUUAAGAGGAGUGGUUAGCUUCUGCGAAGCUACGAAUCGAAGCCCCAGUAAACGGCGGCCGUAACUAUAACGGUCCUAAGGUAGCGAAAUUCCUUGUCGGGUAAGUUCCGACCCGCACGAAAGGCGUAACGAUUUGGGCACUGUCUCAACGAGAGACUCGGUGAAAUCAUAGUACCUGUGAAGAUGCAGGUUACCCGCGACAGGACGGAAAGACCCCGUGGAGCUUUACUGUAGCCUGAUAUUGAAAUUCGGCACAGCUUGUACAGGAUAGGUAGGAGCCUUUGAAACGUGAGCGCUAGCUUACGUGGAGGCGCUGGUGGGAUACUACCCUAGCUGUGUUGGCUUUCUAACCCGCACCACUUAUCGUGGUGGGAGACAGUGUCAGGCGGGCAGUUUGACUGGGGCGGUCGCCUCCUAAAAGGUAACGGAGGCGCUCAAAGGUUCCCUCAGAAUGGUUGGAAAUCAUUCAUAGAGUGUAAAGGCAUAAGGGAGCUUGACUGCGAGACCUACAAGUCGAGCAGGGUCGAAAGACGGACUUAGUGAUCCGGUGGUUCCGCAUGGAAGGGCCAUCGCUCAACGGAUAAAAGCUACCCCGGGGAUAACAGGCUUAUCUCCCCCAAGAGUUCACAUCGACGGGGAGGUUUGGCACCUCGAUGUCGGCUCAUCGCAUCCUGGGGCUGUAGUCGGUCCCAAGGGUUGGGCUGUUCGCCCAUUAAAGCGGUACGCGAGCUGGGUUCAGAACGUCGUGAGACAGUUCGGUCCCUAUCCGUCGUGGGCGUAGGAAAUUUGAGAGGAGCUGUCCUUAGUACGAGAGGACCGGGAUGGACAUACCUCUGGUGUACCAGUUGUCGUGCCAACGGCAUAGCUGGGUAGCUAUGUGUGGACGGGAUAAGUGCUGAAAGCAUCUAAGCAUGAAGCCCCCCUCAAGAUGAGAUUUCCCAACUUCGGUUAUAAGAUCCCUCAAAGAUGAUGAGGUUAAUAGGUUCGAGGUGGAAGCAUGGUGACAUGUGGAGCUGACGAAUACUAA
rnacentral:rRNA from 1 species